GACGAACGCUGGCGGCGUGCUUAACACAUGCAAGUCGAACGGAAAGGCCCUGCUUUUGUGGGGUGCUCGAGUGGCGAACGGGUGAGUAACACGUGAGUAACCUGCCCUUGACUUCGGGAUAACUCCAGGAAACUGGGGCUCAUACCGGAUAGGAGCUCCUGCUGCAUGGUGGGGGUUGGAAAGUUUCGGCGGUUGGGGAUGGACUCGCGGCUUAUCAGCUUGUUGGUGGGGUAGUGGCUUACCAAGGCUUUGACGGGUAGCCGGCCUGAGAGGGGGACCGGCCACAUGGGGACUGAGAUACGGACCAGACUCCUACGGGACGCAGCAGUGGGGAGUAUUGCAGAAUGGGCGGGAGCCUGAUGCAGCAACGCCGCGUGCGGGAUGACGGCCUUCGGGUUGUAAACCGCUGUCGCCUGUGACGAAGCGUGAGUGACGGUAACGGGUAAAGAAGCACCGGCUAACUACGUG
rnacentral:rRNA from 1 species